CACGUAGGGACCAAGCGUUGUCCGGAUUCAUUGGGCGUAAAGAGCUCGUAGGCGGUUCGAUAAGUCGGGUGUGAAACCUCCAGGCUCAACCUGGAGACGCCACCCGAUACUGUCGUGACUAGAGUCCAGUAGGGGAGCGUGGAAUUCCUGAGUGUAGCGGUGAAAUGCGCAGAUAUCUGAGGAGGAACACCAGCGGACGGAAGGCGGCGCCUCUUGGGCGAACUGACGCUGAGGAAGC
rnacentral:rRNA from 1 species